GACGAACGCUGGCGGCGUGCUUAACACAUGCAAGUCGAACGGUGAUGCCCCAGCUUGCUGGAGUGGAUCAGUGGCGAACGGGUGAGUAACACGUGAGCAACCUGCCCCAGACUCUGGAAUAAGCGCUGGAAACGGCGUCUAAUACUGGAUACGAAACUGGCCCGCAUGGGCAUGGUUUGGAAAGUUAUUCGGUUUGGGAUGGGCUCGCGGCCUAUCAGCUUGUUGGUGAGGUAAUGGCUCACCAAGGCGACGACGGGUAGCCGGCCUGAGAGGGCGACCGGCCACACUGGGACUGAGACACGGCCCAGACUCCUACGGGAGGCAGAAGUGGGGAAUAUUGCACAAUGGGCGAAAGCCUGAUGCAGCGACGCCGCGUGAGGGAUGACGGCCUUCGGUUUGUAAACCUCUUUCAGCAGGGAAGAAGCGAAAGUGACGGUACCUGCAGAAGAAGCACCGGCUAACUACGUG
rnacentral:rRNA from 1 species